CUGGCUCCAUAGGCAAUCAACUUACAAUACUGGCUUAUCAGGUACACUACCUGCUAAUUAAAAUAUUUAUUAUGCUACAGUAUAGAUCCAUUGAGUUGCACUAUAUUGUAUUGUUCAAUUUUAAAUAUAUGGUUAUAUUUUUAGAUGGUACGAAUCCUUUAAGUUGCAUUGGUGGCAUAGAUGACCUGCGUGAUGUAGACAGAGACGAAGAUAUCGGCGCCUCUCAUGAAACGGGUGCACUUUUAUUACUGUAGCAUAAUAUUCUUUGUGAAUCUUACUUGUGUUACUUUCUUACGGUUGUGAUUAGACACCGUCCUAGCAUGCGUUGAUUAAGAUGAUAUUCCAUGAUAUUUAGGUUCUACCAUGUGUCGAAAAGAGCGUAAGCGUGAUCGUGAUAGAGCACGGAAAGCAGCAAUGCCUCCUGAACAAAGGGCGCUACUAAAUAAAAGAAGACGUGAAUUAUAUGCAAAAAAAAAUCCAUCAAAAAAGCCUACAGUGCAACUACAAAUGACUCCAAAUGUAACUUCCCUGACAACAGGUAUAGCCAUAAUAUUAAGGAGUUCCCUUUGCAACAAAAAUUUCUAUGUUAUCAUAGUAUACUUAUUAUAUCAAUAAUAUUUUAGACGGCCCUAUCCCUUUAAGCAUCGGAGGUAACGAGGACUUAGGAGGAAACGAGGACUCACCCUCUCCUGGUGAUAUUGACGAAGGUAUUGACGAGGGUUUAACUGAGAUGGAUAUCAACUGUGUUCAUGAAACGGGUAAGCCUUUAUAGAAUCAUGGCUUUGUUUUUAACUACAACGACUGUCGUUUGAUAACCAUUGUACCUAUUGUUGUAUAAAUUUCAUUGACACAGAUUUGAGAUUACUGUCUCUUGCAUCGAUAAAUUUCAUUGUUGUAUAAAUAAGAGACCGAACUUUUGAUUGUUACAUAUAUGUGCUACAAAUGCAGCCCAUUCCAUCAACAAUAUUGUCACAUGCCGAAAAGAGCGUAAGCGUGAGUU
rnacentral:lncRNA from 1 species